rnacentral:rRNA from 1 species
UGGGGAAUAUUGCACAAUGGGCGAAAGCCUGAUGCAGCGACGCCGCGUGGGGGAUGACGGCCUUCGGGUUGUAAACCUCUUUCAGCAAGGAAGAAGCGAAAGUGACGGUACUUGCAGAAGAAGCGCCGGCUAACUACGUGCCAGCAGCCGCGGUAAUACGUAGGGCGCAAGCGUUGUCCGGAAUUAUUGGGCGUAAAGGGCUUGUAGGUGGCUUGUCGCGUCUGCCGUGAAAACCCAGGGCUUAACUCUGGGCGUGCGGUGGGUACGGGCAGGCUAGAGUGCGGUAGGGGAGACUGGAAUUCCUGGUGUAGCGGUGAAAUGCGCAGAUAUCAGGAGGAACACCGAUGGCGAAGGCAGGUCUCUGGGCCGUUACUGACACUGAGAAGCGAAAGCAUGGGGAGCGAACAGGAUUAGAUACCCUGGUA